UGGGAUACAUCGUUCUGCCAAUCAACCCACGAUAAGGACAACUCCCAACUGAAGCUUUUCCCCAGCAUGGCUGUGAUAAUUGGAUUUUGCGGACACCUGUAUGAGUGCAGUAUAUCCAGGGGAUUAUAACCAGGGAUGGGUGAGUCAACUCUAAUUAUUGUCACAUUAACCCGUACAAACCGCCAGCCCCCC
rnacentral:lncRNA from 1 species